rnacentral:lncRNA from 1 species
AGAAGCCGCUCUCUCUCGGCUCAGGUCGGCUGGACAGACCCGCAGGGAAUGCGGCGAACGCUGCCCUAAGCGCCCGGGCAUUGCGGCUGCUCCAUCCGCCCUACUCCUCCCAUUGCCUGGGACCUCUGCAGCGUCCCCGUAGAGCCGCGCAGGUUAGGGUGGCUGGCUUGGAAGAACAGAAACCCCUCGGCCCAACCCUCCCCUGUCCCUCAGCAUUCUAGGGCUGGGCUGUCCCGCGGCCGAGAUUCCUGGAGAGCUAGGCGGGCCAGAGCUGACCAGAUCCCCCGCGGCGGCACCGCAGCGCGAUCCAGGAGUGGCCCCGCCGGGCUACGCUGCGCGCUCUUGGAACCCGGGUCACCUUCCCUGCCGCCGGAACCGCUCUGUGCGCGCUGCCCAACGAAGGAAGGGGCUGCCCCACGCAGACCCGGCUUCUGGGGGUCCCUGGAAACCCAGGCGGCCACGGUGUGGCGGGGGAGACAUGGUCACUUUUCCUGCAGGGUGCGCCUGAGCAGAGGGGCAGCCCGUUACAGUAGGCGAGGCCAGGGCAAACCCGGGGUCACUAUCAGCGCUGCGAGACUGGUAUUCAAGGUCCUCUCAGCCGGGCCUCUCACCCACCCCGCUGGCCGCAGCCGGAGGCUGCCACGCGGACACCGUCUCAAGCCUCUGAGCAUUGCUCUGAGCCUCUGCCUGCAAUGUCCUUCCUCUGUCAUCUCUAGGCCUCGGCUCAGCCCUGGACCUAGCCUUUCUGCCCCGCCCUACCCCAAGCUGGCGCCACCGCCCGUGGCUGAACUCCGACCUCCCACC